rnacentral:rRNA from 1 species
AUUGAACGCUGGCGGCAUGCUUUACACAUGCAAGUCGAACGGUAACAGGCCGCAAGGUGCUGACGAGUGGCGAACGGGUGAGUAAUGCAUCGGAACGUGCCCAGUCGUGGGGGAUAACGCAGCGAAAGCUGCGCUAAUACCGCAUACGAUCUAUGGAUGAAAGCGGGGGACCGUAAGGCCUCGCGCGAUUGGAGCGGCCGAUGUCAGAUUAGGUAGUUGGUGGGGUAAAGGCUCACCAAGCCGACGAUCUGUAGCUGGUCUGAGAGGACGACCAGCCACACUGGGACUGAGACACGGCCCAGACUCCUACGGGAGGCAGCAGUGGGGAAUUUUGGACAAUGGGCGCAAGCCUGAUCCAGCAAUGCCGCGUGCAGGAAGAAGGCCUUCGGGUUGUAAACUGCUUUUGUACGGAACGAAACGGUCCUGGUUAAUACCCGGGGCUAAUGACGGUACCGUAAGAAUAAGCACCGGCUAACUACGUGCCAGCAGCCGCGGUAACAC